rnacentral:lncRNA from 1 species
UGGGACUCCACAACCAAGCUAUUAGUGUUCCCUGAAACAGCCACUCCACACUGUGACUGCUUCGUGUGGACUGAAAACCCUUGCUUGCUGGCUCGGCUGAAAACAUUUGAUGUGCAUCUCCAUAUUCCAUAUCUCUGCAGUGCAUAUGUUGUAAAGUUCCAUAAGUCCAACACAGGAAGUGUCCUGUACAACAUGUCUUUUUUAAGGUUCUAUUUCAAAUACGCAAUAAAUUCAGGGAGAAUUUGCCUGGAUAAAGACCAAGAAUAGAAAAACAACAGGCCAGAAGCCAUGCAGGAAGCAGCUCUACUGCACUUUA